rnacentral:lncRNA from 1 species
CCGACCCAUAGAUGGCCAGUUUUCUGAGAGAAUGCUGGAUGCUGUCAUUGAUGGUACCCCUUGCUUUGAAGGUGGCAACAGCAGAAAUGUCUGUAUUAAUGGCAUAUGUAAGAUGGUUGGCUGUGACUACGAGAUCGAUUCCAAUGCCACGGAGGAUCGCUGUGGUGUUUGUCUGGGAGACGGCUCUGCCUGCCAGACUGUAAGGAAGAUGUUCAAGCAGAAAGAAGGAUCUGG